GGUGUCUGGCGAGCUCAUACCAGUGUGAUGGUCACGUGUCUACAGACUCUUGGCCAUGUGGUCUAGAAACCCCUGACGUGCCACACACUGGGGGGAUUCCUGCUAAGUGGAAGGUGGCAGAUGUUGUUUAGUUACAUAAAGGAGGUGGCCAAACUGCGCCGGGUAAUGCAAGCCAGUAAACGUAACGUGUGCCACCAUAGGGACAUUAAUGGAAGGAAAGGAGCCCCACCUGUCACUUAGUCAGCGGUCCGCAUGCGUUUAGACGGGGGGGUCGUGUUGAGUUCACUUGAAACACAAGCAGACGAUCAGAGAGGUGCAGAUGAGCUUAUUGAAACUGAAACAAGGGGUGGUCUGUGUGGGGGGGUAUCAUUGGAGGUGCAGAUGAGCUUAUUGAAACUGAAACAAGGGGUGGUCUGUGUGGGGGGGUAUCAUUGGAGGUGCAGAUGAGCUUAUUGAAACUGAAACAAGUGGGCAUCAGGGGGUGGUCUGUGUGGGGGGGGUAUCAUUGGAGGUGCAGAUGAGCUUAUUGAAACUGAAACAAGUGGGCAUCAGGGGGUGGUCUGUGUGGGGGGGUAUCAUUGGAGGUGCAGAUGAGCUUAUUGAAACUGAAACAAGUGGGCAUCAGGGGGUGGUCUGUGGGUGGGAAGGGUGGUAUCAUUGGUGGAAAGACCAGGAAUAAAUGCAGUGUUCACGAGAUCUCGAACAGACG